CCUACGGGAGGCAGCAGUAAGGAAUAUUGGUCAAUGGGCGCAAGCCUGAACCAGCCAUGCCGCGUGCAGGAUGACGGCCCUCUGGGUUGUAAACUGCUUUUAUACGGGAAGAACAGCAUCUACGUGUAGGUGUUUGACGGUACUGUAAGAAUAAGGACCGGCUAACUUCGUGCCAGCAGCCGCGGUAAUACGAAGGGUCCAAGCGUUAUCCGGAUUUAUUGGGUUUAAAGGGUGCGUAGGCGGUCUUUUUAAGUCAGUGGUGAAAGCCUGAUGCUCAACAUCAGAACUGCCAUUGAUACUGAAGAGCUUGAGUACAGUUGAGGUUGGCGGAAUGUGUCAUGUAGCGGUGAAAUGCUUAGAUAUGACACAGAACACCGAUUGCGAAGGCAGCUAGCUAAGCUGUUACUGACGCUGAUGCACGAAAGCGUGGGGAGCAAACAGGAUUAGAUACCCUGGUAGUCCACGCCCUAAACGUUGAUAACUCGUUGUUAGCGAUAUACUGUUAGCGACCAAGCGAAAGNAUUAUUAUCCACCGUAGGAGGUACGGUCGCGAGAGUUAGUAACGUACAAAGUAGUAAGUUAGUACGGACGUAGAGGACGUUCGACCGACGGACGACGACGAGGGGAGGUAGG
rnacentral:rRNA from 1 species